rnacentral:lncRNA from 1 species
GCCAAAUGAACUUGAUUGCAGUCUGAUUAUGGAUUCUGGAGAUGCUGUUUAUACAGAAUUUGACUUUGAAGACCAGGAGGAGGAUCAGUCAAGUUUUUCUGGUUAUGAGAGCACAGGAGACUUUUCAGAAGAUCUAAGGAAAUCAAACAUCAUUUUUGUUUUCG